rnacentral:rRNA from 1 species
UACGAAGGGGACUAGCGUUGUUCGGAAUCACUGGGCGUAAAGCGCAGCGUAGGUGGAUUUGUGAAGUCAGGGGUGAAAUCCCAGAGCUCAACUCUGGAACUUGCCUUUGAUACGUGGGGAUCUCGAGUUCGGGAGAGGUGAGUGGAACUGCGAGUGUAGAGGUGAAAUUCGUAGAUAUUCGCAAGAACACCAGUGGCGAAGGCGGCUCACUGGCCCGAUACUGACGCUGAGGUGCGAAAGCGUGGGGAGCAAACAGG